UACGGAGGGAGCAAGCGUUACUCGGAUUUAUUGGGCGUAAAGAGCGUGUAGGCGGCCAGGUAGGUCUGCUGUGAAAACUCGAGGCUCAACCUCGAGACGUCGGCGGAAACCAUCUGGCUAGAGUCCGGAAGAGGAGAAUGGAAUUCCUGGUGUAGCGGUGAAAUGCGCAGAUAUCAGGAAGAACACCCGUGGCGAAGGCGGUUCUCUGGGCCGGAACUGACACUGAGGAGCGAAAGCGUGGGUAGCAAACAGG
rnacentral:rRNA from 1 species